GGACUUUAUGGCACAAUAGAAAUAACGUUAUUUUUCACAAUCUUUAAUUUAACGUUAUCUCUGCUGCUCAACUCAUUGGCGAAUUGGCGAAGGAGUGGGCCUCCUUUUGUAAGGUUACAUGCCGUCACCGUCAGUAAUUUACUUUUGUGUAAUUUUCUUUUCUAUCUCGUUUUUUGCUUUCUCUCUUUUUUAACCGUGUAUUUUUCGACUUUUCGAGAUCUCUGCUGCCUCACAUUAUGUAGCUAAGUUCAUUUAUCUAAUGAAUUAAGCAGGUAGCGUGCUAUCCUUUUCUCAAAAAAAAAAAAAAAGAGAAGCAUAAAGCUUGAUUAAUAAAACA
rnacentral:lncRNA from 1 species